rnacentral:rRNA from 1 species
UAAUACAGAGGGUGCAAGCGUUAAUCGGAAUUACUGGGCGUAAAGGGUGUGUAGGUGGUAAUGUAAGUUAGGUGUGAAAUCCUCGGGCUUAACCUGAGAAUUGCGCUUAAUACUGCAUUUCUAGAGUACUGCAGAGGGCAGUGGAAUUUCCAGUGUAGCGGUGAAAUGCGUAGAUAUUGGAAGGAACACCAGUGGCGAAGGCGACUGCCUGGAUAGAUACUGACACUGAGACACGAAAGCGUGGGUAGCAAACAGG